rnacentral:rRNA from 1 species
GCAAGGGGGCUCUCACCACGAGAUGAGUCCGCGGCCCAUCAGCUAGUUGGCGGUGUAAUAGACCACCAAGGCUAAGACGGGUAGCUGGUCUGAGAGGAUGACCAGCCACACUGGGACUGAGACACGGCCCAGACUCCUACGGGAGGCAGCAGUGGGGAAUAUUGGACAAUGGGCGAAAGCCUGAUCCAGCCAUGCCGCGUGAGUGAUGAAGGUCUUCGGAUCGUAAAGCUCUGUGGGAAGGGACGAAAAAGCCUAACCUAAUACGUUAGGUCUUGACGGUACCUUCUUAGCUAAGCACCGGCUAACUCCGUGCCAGCAGCCGCGGUAAUACGGAGGUGCAAACGUUGCUCGGAAUUAUGGGCGUAAAGCGCACGUAAGGCGGUCCGCUAAGUCGGAUGUGAAAGCCUCGGCUUAACCGAGGAAGUG